rnacentral:snRNA from 1 species
AGCUUUGCGCAGUGGCAGUAUUGUAGCCUAUGAGGUGCGAUUAUUGCUAGUUGAAAACAUUUCCUCAUACCCCACCAUAAUGACUUGAAAUAUAGUCGACAUUGGCAAUUUUUGACAAUCUCUACGGAGA